ensembl:lncRNA
AAAUGGAGUAGCUGUCAGACUCAGACGUGCCUAGUCAUCCUCACAGCUGUGUCUGUUGGAACUGUAACCCAGCAGAACCCUAAUUGAUGCUUUUGAACUGUGGUGUUGGAGAAGACUCUUGAGAGUCCCUUGGACUGCAAGGAGAUCCAACCAGUCCAAUCUGAAGUAGAUCAUCCCUGGGAUUUCUUUGGAGGGAAUGAUGCUGAAGCUGAAACUUCAGUACUUUGGCCACCUCAUGUGAAGAGCCGGUUUAUUUCCAAGUCAUAUCUGGAGAGGUUGAAAAGGGAGAAGCAGGAAGCUGAGAAGAUGGGAUUUGACUUCAGAAAAGAGAUAUCUACCUGGAAGGUAAGAGGAGAAGCUUCCUGAGGAAGUUAGAUAGAUAUCUUGGCAGGACCUUGGGUUGAUCUCAAGGUGCUGCCUUCUUCUUUGUUCCCUGACAGUUAAGUUAUUUGACUAGGCCUUUUCUUCAUCCUUUCCUGAUAAAAGUGGUGGCUGAAAAGAGAACAUAUCACAAAUGGCCACAGAUAUUUGGAGGGAGAUAUUCUUAUAGAGGGACUCUCUGAUGAGGAUGACAAGCAAAUUUCAUUUUCCAUUCUUGUCAUGUGUUUUAACCUUUGACUCUCAGAAGACAUCUGGCAAUGGCUCAUGGCUUUGUCCUUGGGGUUCAACUUUUUGGCAGAGGGUGGUGGAAGGGGAUCAGGAGUAAUGCAGAGAAGCAUGAGCAUCCUGGACAGAUGUGUGAAGCCUGCCCACACCCAGGGAUCCCGUUUGGCUCUGAGUUGUCCUCAGCAACUUGGGGCAGAUUUGGGGCCAUAGUUUUGAAGUCAAAUAGAAAAAAAUGGGCAAAGUCAGUUUCACCAUGAAUUGCUCUGCUCCUCUUUCUCAUUCCUGAAGAAUCGAGUAUAACAUGAGACAAAAUGUCCAGGCAAAGUUUAAAAAACAGAGUGAUCCUGGACAGUGAGGACCUGAAGGGACUGCAAAAGUUGAGAAAUGAAGAGUAAGUUGGUUUACAGAACAUAGCAAAUUCUGAGAAUGAGCUGGUCCAGUAGAGUCAAUUGGUGAGAGAUCUCAUCUCAGAUCUGGAGCAUCAUUUGCAGGGAUCAGCAAUGGAGAUGCUGCAGGUAAGACUUGGAAAGAAGUCUGAGGAUCCAAGGUAUGAAAAAAAAUGAAGACUAAGUUUUCAUCUCUUCUGUGUUGCUAUGCUCUUCGUGGUGUUGUCAGUAAGGUUGUUUUGGGCCUCCAGUACCCCUUCUUGGCAUCUAUUUCAGAGGUUUUAAGAAUAAGUGAAGGCAUGAAUUGAAUGCAAGAAUAAUGGGGAAAUUUUCAUUUUUUUAAUGUGCCAAUUUCCCUGUAAAUAUUUGAUUGUGGAGAGAAGAUUCACUGUGUUUGGAGGUUUUCUAAAGGCCCCUGUUAUCUGUGAUCUAGUGUUAAGCAUUUAUUGGAUGCUUCUUCACGAUGCAGCUUGGUCAUAGACAAAUAUACCUCAGAUUCCAAGAGGCUUUUUUUCUCCAUUCAAUGUGUUGAGAUUUCCUCCCUCUUUCUCUAUUUCCGAAGAAAGUUUUUGAAGGAUUGCUAUUUAUUCUCUAAAUAUUCAAUGGAAUUAACUAUUGAACUAUCUCACUCUGGGUGUUUUCUAUUGAAAGGGUUUAAAAUAUCUUGCUUGUGUUAGGAUCAUUUAGAUUUUUUUUACAGUCCUUGAGUCAGUUAUUCUAUGCCUUGUAGAAAGUUGUCUAUUCUAAGUUGCCUGAUUUGUAAGC